rnacentral:rRNA from 1 species
UGCCAGCCGCCGCGGUAAUACGAAGGGUGCUAGCGUUGUUCGGAAUCAUUGGGCGUAAAGGGCACGCAGGCGGUCUUGUCAGUCAGAUGUGAAAGCCCGGGGCUCAACCCCGGACGUGCAUUUGAAACAGCAAGACUUGAGUACGGUAGAGGAAAGCGGAAUUCCUGGUGUAGAGGUGAAAUUCGUAGAUAUCAGGAGGAACACCGGUGGCGAAGGCGGCUUUCUGGACCGAAACUGACGCUGAGGUGCGAAGGCGUGGGUAGCGAACAGGAUUAGAUA